rnacentral:rRNA from 1 species
GACGAGCCACACGAACGUUAUUCGGAAUUACUGGGCUUAAAGGGCGCGUAGGCGGCCACCUAAGUCAGACGUGAAAUCCCUCGGCUCAACCGGGGAACUGCGUCUGAUACUGGGCGGCUUGAAUUCGGGAGAGGGAUGCGGAAUUCCAGGUGUAGCGGUGAAAUGCGUAGAUAUCUGGAGGAACACCGGUGGCGAAGGCGGCAUCCUGGACCGAGAUUGACGCUGAGGCGCGAAAGCCAGGGGAGCAAACGGG